rnacentral:rRNA from 1 species
UACGAAGGGUGCAAGCGUUACUCGGAAUUACUGGGCGUAAAGCGUGCGUAGGUGGUUUGUUAAGUCUGUUGUGAAAGCCCUGGGCUCAACCCAGGAAAUGCACACGAAACUGGCAGGCUUGAAUAUGGAAGAGGGUCGCGGAAUUCCCGGUGUAGAGGUGAAAUUCGUAGAUAUCGGGAGGAACACCAGUGGCGAAAGGCGGCGCCUGGGCCAAUAUUG